rnacentral:rRNA from 1 species
AGUGAACGCUGGCGGUAGGCCUAACACAUGCAAGUCGAACGGCAGCACAGUAAGCGCUUGCUCUUACGGGUGGCGAGUGGCGGACGGGUGAGGAAUACAUCGGAAUCUACUUUUUCGUGGGGGAUAACGUAGGGAAACUUACGCUAAUACCGCAUACGACCUACGGGUUAAAGCAAGGGAUCUUCGGACCUUGCGCGAUUGAAUGAGCCGAUGUCGGAUUAGCUAGUUGGCGGGGUAAAGGCCCACCAAGGCGACGAUCCGUAGCUGGUCUGAGAGGAUGAUCAGCCACACUGGAACUGAGACACGGUCCAGACUCCUACGGGAGGCAGCAGUGGGGAAUAUUGGACAAUGGGCGCAAGCCUGAUCCAGCCAUACCGCGUGGGUGAAGAAGGCCUUCGGGUUGUAAAGCCCUUUUGUUGGGAAAGAAAAGCAGCAGAUUAAUACCCCGCUGUUCUGACGGUACCCAAAGAAUAAGCACCGGCUAACUUCGUG